GUAAGCAAUGUCUUUGGUUUUCUUUUUUUUUUUUUUUUUUUUUAGCAGACGUCUCACUCUUGUCGCCCAGGCUGGAGUGUAAUGGCAUGAUCUCGCCUCACUGCAACCUCCACCUCCUGGGUUCAAGCAAUUCUCCUGUCUCAGCCUCCCGAGUAGCUGGGACUACAGGCACUCAUCACCACACCUGGCUAAUUUUUGUAUUUUUAGUAUUUUCUGGUGAGGGUCCAGGUUUCCGGAAACAACUCAGAGACAUAUGUUAAGAUGUUAUCUUUAGUUUUCACAGGGAACCAAAUAUGUUACGACUCCAAUUUCCUUGGCUAUUGUUUUAAGUUACCAUUACCUUCUCGUUGAUCAAGUUGCUCAUUUACUUCUCAAGCCUAGCUAGAUGCCUGGAAUUUCCCUUGAAGGAAGUCAAGAUUUUCCUUUAUCUCCAUACUGGCUGAUGGUGAUCGAGUAAGCCCCUAAGAGGGGUCCCUGCUCCAUCUCGAGAUGCUGCUAGAUUCUACAGUGCCUAAUAAACAGCUCUCGCCUGGCCGACAAAGAGCUGCUUGCUCUCUGGAUAGCAAUUCCAAAGUGAACAGACAACAUCCUGUUUGGAAGACUGCCACUCUGUUAGAAGAAGCAUCAGGAAAACCUUUCUUUUGAGCUAUUUAUAACUAACAGCAAUUGACCAAGUAUACUUUUGAACCAUUGGAGAUACUCAUUACUCUUUGAAGGCUUACAGUGGAAUGAAUUCAAAUACGACUUAUUUGAGGAAUUGAAGUUGACUUUAUGGAGCUGAUAAGAAUCUUCUUGGAGAAAAAAAGACUGGGUAUAUUUUCAAUAUGCUUUCCUUUUAAGGUCCCUCACCUGUGGAAAGUAAAGAAUGUCACUUUCUGACAGGCUCAGGAACCUCAAGUUAUGUAGGGAUCUCAAGAAGAUGGGGGAAUUCACCCAGUUCAUACAGGUGAAAUUGCUGUUGCAAAGAUUAUGAAUAUGAGAGAAGUCCAGCAUGGCUGACUUCAUCUCGUGUCUGGCCUCAGGCUGGCUGCCCUUGCUCACUCUUGGGCAUAGGCCAAGCUAGCCAUGGGAGGAAUUUAGUUUAUAGUUUAACUUUGAAGCACGGAUGAUAAUAGUCUCUCCCUAAAAUGAACCCCUUCCUUGCUCAGGGACUGAAACUACCUUUGUAUGACAAAUGAAAGCCCACAAGAUUAAGAUUAUGAGAGGGGCCUGAAUUCUGCUAAAAUGCAGGUGUAGCUGACUGAUAACAAGUCAUUGUCCCACAGCUUGCCUUUCUAUAAUCUCUUGCUUCUCAGGAGUCACAUGGCCAGAGGUCCUGAGAUUUCCAGUCCUGUGACCCCCACCCAGAGAUGGACUUAGUGCAUGAGGACCAUUUUCCACACCCCUAUGAUUUCAUCCUCAAACAAUCAGCAGCAACCAUUCCCUAGCCCCCUGCCUUCCAAAUUAUCCAUAAAAAUCCUAGCCUCUGAGUUAUUAGGGAGAUUGAUUAAUAAUCCCAGUCCUACCCCUUGGGUUGCUCUGAUUUAAUUAAACCUUCUCUACUGCAAUACCACGGACUCAGUAAAUUGGUUUUGUCUGUGCAAUGGGCAAGAAGAACAUGUUGCAUGGUUAUACAGGUACUACAAGCACAGUCUGAUGGCAAAUUAUUGGUUUUGCUUCCUGCCCUUGAUGUUUCUAAACAUCUAGUCCAAAAUUACUUGUGAAAGGUCCAGCAAAGCCAAUUUUAAAAGAGGCUAUAUGGCCAAUCACUAUUCUUUCUACACAUUAUUGCAAAUAAUCAGGCCACGGCUGGGCACGGUGGCUCAUGCCUGCAAUCCCAGCACUUUGGGAGGCUGAGGCAGGAUCACCUGAAAUCAGGAGUUCAAGACCAGCCUAGGCAACAUGAUAAAACCCUGUCUCUACUAAAAAUACAAAAUUAGCCAGGCAUGGUGGCAUGCACCUGUAAUCCCAGCUACUUGGGAGACUGAGGGAGGAGAAUCACUUGAACCUGGGAGGCAGAGAUUGCAGUGAGCUGAGAUCACACCACUGCACUCCAGCCUGGGCAAUAGAGUGAGACUUUGUCUCAAAUAAUAAUAAUAAUAAUCAGACCAAGUAUAAUGAAAUUAAAAUUUAUUUUGCAAAUAAAUUGGUCCUACUACAAUUUAUCCUUCAUAGAAAUGUGGAAACUGAAGAUAAAAAAAAUUAGGUUUCAGAAGAAAACUAUACUACACCUGUUAUUAGAUUCUAGCCCUAAACAUUGUUUUUGAGGUUUUUAUUAUUUACCUGCAAUUUGGUCUAAAUUCUGAAUUAUUUCCUGACUACAAGUAUCCAAGGAAUAAAUGGGUUUUCUUUUUCUUUAUGAUAGUUUUAGUUGGCUUCUAAUGCAACAACAAUUUUUAUUGUAAUCCUGUGUGCAUUCUAUUCCUACUAUUCAAAUUAUUAAUGUUAUAGAUCUUUCAUUGUAGUACUUCUGAAUUAACCAAAAUCACAGUAUUCUGAAGAUGAUUCUACAAAGCCUGCUGUUUCUACAAAGGCUGCUGAUGAUUUCUACAAAGCCUGCUGUAGUGUUGCUGUGGCCUCUGCUUAAAAAAGUAGAAAACACAUUGAUGCAGCAUGUUCACCCCAACCUCCCUGCCUAAAGGCUCAGGGACCAUCUUGGAAGAGGAAGGCGCGUGAGAUUGUAAGAGCCGAAUUAGGGGGAUGGAGUGUGGAGAAUAAGGACACUUCAUCUUGGAUGCUCACCUGCCAAAUUGACUUCUGAUGAAAGCCAGCUCCAGAAAUGUGCCUACAGUUACUACUUUCACCUAAACCCUGCCCUUAGUCAAAUCCUUCUCUUCUUCUAAGCAAUCAACUUCAAUUCCUUGUAUAACCCACAGUAUAAAAGGGCUUUUAUACCAUUCUAUCCUAUUGCAUGUAAGCCUUGGGUCUGGGAGGUAACAGUGUGGGAUUCCACCAUCUCAUCUCCCUGCCACCCAAACAUGCCUGCUCUUCUUUAAGCAAUAUUAAAUGUUUGUACUUCAGAAAUUUGAUUUGUCAGCCUCUUCUUCAGACUCUCAGCUUCUUUGGCCUUUGGGAGUAAAUUUGCAUAGGCCUGCUCAAAACAGGAUGUUCUGGGGGUUUGGGGGUGUUGUUUUGUUUUGUUUUUUGUUUUGUUUAGAGACAGGGUCUCACUCUGUCACCCAGGUUGGAGUGCAGUGGUGCAAUCAUGGCACACUGCAGCCUCAAACUCCUAGGCUCAAGCAAUCCCCCCACCUUGGCCUCCCAAAGUUCUGGGAUUACAAGCAUAAGCCACCAUGCCCAGCCCUGGACUUUUC
rnacentral:lncRNA from 10 species